rnacentral:rRNA from 1 species
GACGAACGCUGGCGGCGUGCCUAAUACAUGCAAGUCGAGCGAAUGGAUGGGAGCUUGCUCCCUGAAGUUAGCGGCGGACGGGUGAGUAACACGUGGGCAACCUGCCUGUAAGACUGGGAUAACUUCGGGAAACCGGAGCUAAUACCGGAUACAUUCUUUCUUCGCCUGAAGAAAGAUGGAAAGAUGGUUUCGGCUAUCACUUACAGAUGGGCCCGCGGCGCAUUAGCUAGUUGGUGAGGUAACGGCUCACCAAGGCAACGAUGCGUAGCCGACCCGAGGGGGUGAUCGGCCACACUGGGACGGAGACACGGCCCAGACUCCUACGGGAGGCAGCAGUAGGGAAUCUUCCGCAAUGGACGAAAGUCUGACGGAGCAACGCCGCGUGAGCGAAGAAGGCCUUCGGGUCGUAAAGCUCUGUUGUUAGGGAAGAACAAGUACCAGAGUAACUGCUGGUACCUUGACGGUACCUAACCAGAAAGCCACGGCUAACUACGUGCUAGCAGCCGCCGUAAGAC